AAGAGUAGAGGGUAAGGUGUGAUUUUGAUAGAGAGAGUAGUAUGGAUCUCAGACUGAGAGGGGAAGAUGGAGUUGCAUGUUUUUUUUUUCGUUGCAGGUUUUGAGUGGUUAGAAUGCUUUAGAUGAUAGAAGAGAGGAAUUGUGGGGAAGAGUUAGGAUAGAAGGUUGUGUGUGUGUGUGUUAAUGGAGAAAGAAAAGAGUUGAGUAUAGUAACGUUAUUGAGGAAGUGAGGAUAUUGGCCUAUGAAGGGGAAAAACCUGAGCAAAUAUCAGUUGGGGUGUGCGUAGUUUUCUGAAUGAUCCUGUUGUGGGUCUUAAUUUUACUUGGAAUUUCCUAUGAAAUUGUGACCACCUUGCUUCAAAGGAGAGCCACUUGGUUAGCAGACCUUUGUUUCUGUGAAACGUUAUAUAUAGUUUUUGUUUUGUA
rnacentral:lncRNA from 1 species